GGCCCUAUCGUCUAACAGUUAGGACACCAUUCUUUCAAGAUGGGAACGCGGGUGCGACUCCCGCUAGGGUCA
rnacentral:tRNA from 1 species